UACGGGGGGGGCAAGCGUUGUUCGGAAUUACUGGGCGUAAAGGGCUCGUAGGCGGCCAACUAAGUCGGAUGUGAAAUCCCCAGGCUUAACCUGGGAACUGCAUCCGAUACUGGAUGGCUUGAAUCCGGGAGGGGGAUGCAGAAUUCCAGGUGUAGCGGUGAAAUGCGUAGAUAUCUGGAGGAAUACCGGUGGCGAAGGCGGGCUACUGGGCCGAUACUGACGCUGAUGCGCGAAAGCCAGGGGAGCGAACGGG
rnacentral:rRNA from 1 species